UUUAACAUAAUACAAUAUGGUGUUGUCCGUUCAUAAAUGCGGAUAACUUAAAAAGGAAUCUGGUAAAAGCCAGGACAGCCCCCGCUACUGUGAGAAGGACGAAACUCAAAGACCACUGGAGCCAUCCGGGAAGGUGAGGAGUAGAAUGAAUUCGAGUCAGGAGACUUGCCAUAUUGCGUUGUUACAG
rnacentral:ncRNA from 2 species